rnacentral:antisense_RNA from 1 species
AUAAAAAAGCAAGGAUAAAACCCAUUUUCAUCCUUGCUACAAAAGAUUCAAACAAUUAUCCCCAUACUUAUCUUAUCACAUCAAUGAGAGCUGCUUGAUAGGAUAAGGUUGUUUUAGAUUUUUUCCGUCCAAGGGCUAGCGGUCUCUUCGAGUACCCUGUUUAACUCGUCAAUAUUUUGGAAGCCUUCAGUGCAUAGCCACUUUCUUGCUUCGUCCUCUCCUUUAGUAAUAUAAACUGGAACGGAUCCUGCCCACGUGGCACGCCCACACAAAACACCACUAAAUUGAGCACCUGCUGCUGCUGCAAAGUAUAAUGUCUCUUGAAAAAGUUUGGCAGAUACGCCUGCACUCAAAUAGAUAUAAGGGAGGUGGCUGGCAGCUUCUUGGUCUUGAAAAGCUUUAAUAGCCUCAGCUUGACUGUAAUGGACUUCCCCUUCAGUAAAACCUUCUACAUAAGCCAUAUUAACAGGAACCUCUACUUUUAGCACAUCAACGCCAAAACGCUUAUCCGAAAAUACUGACAUAGCACCGUUAACCUUAUGUGGCUUAAGCUUUGCGUAUGCCGCACUGUUGUUAUCUGAUAUUCUCUCAUCAUAACUCAAAAGUUCAAGAAAAAAAGGGAUGUCUUCAGCUGUACAUUCUGAACCAAUGCGUUCAAUAUAAGCUUGUUUUUGUAAAUUGAUUUGUUCAUCUCCAUCAACAUCAUAAUAGAGCAAAAAUUUAAUAGCAUCUGCACCUGCUGCUUUCAACCGUUUGACCGACCAUUCCACUAAGCAAUCGGGUAAACGGCUAGUGGUUGUAGCAUCAUAACCUGUUUUUUCGUAAGCUAACAGUAAGCCUGUCUGAUUAGCUCUUACCUUAGUAGCCAGCAACCCAUAUUCUGGAUCUAAUAAAAUAGAUGAAGCAUAAGGCGUCAAUUCCUCAGAAACGAGAACUUUCAAUGUUUCUAUCUGUGUAACUGUCGCUUCUCCUUCUUGAUGUGCUGCCAUCAUUUGCUUCAGUGCACCUCGUUGAUCAAAAGCUAAAGCUGAUAUGAUUCCUUGAUGGCUCACUUUUUCUAAGUAAUGUCUUUUAUUUGCUGUGAUUGUCAUGUGAUACCUCUCUUACUUGAAGUUGCUGAUAUAAUUGUUUAAAAGUUGCCAUAGUCAUCAAAUCUUGAUAAUAGUGAGUAGCUAGUCUCCUAGGCAGACUGCCUGAGAAGUUAAGACAUCAAACGGCUUAGCAAUAGUACUCAUGUGGCUCAAAGAGACUUCGGCUUCGUCCACAUCACUGUAGGGACCAGCUUCCAAAAUUUUUGUCUGCAUGCCUUCAUGUAAAACAGCAAUACAAUUUCUCGUUUCCCCUUUGAUUUUGAAAAAUUGGUUAGAAAUGCCCUGUUCUUGUAACUGAUGAAUGAUAAAGUCACCCAGCUUACCACCACUAAAUCCUGUUGCCAUAACUGACCAGCUUUUGCUAACAUUCUGGUCACAUUUAGCUCCUUAUCACCAGCUGUUUUUGCCGUUCUGUCAACACAAUUAACCGUGUCCAUAGCCAGACAAUCUAAAGGAUAGGAAAUAGCGACAGAAGGAUUUAAGAUAACUGUUAAACUCAUCUCUUCUUCCUAAUCGUGAUACUCACCACGAUCCCAUUUUUCCAAAAAUUCUGUAAAAAAAUCAGGAUCUUCUUGGUUGGCAUGAUGACUUUCCAAGUGGGCUAUUUUAGCAAUUAGCUUCUUAUUCUCUUCAGUUUCUUUGUAUUCUGCCUUGAUAAAAGCAUCUAUAAUAUCACACAUAAGAAGUUCACCCGUGAUUUUACCACCAAAGCCAAUCACAUUGGCAUUCAAUUCUUCCUUGGCAUAAAGCGCUGUUGUCAUAUCUCGAACAAGGGCUGAACGAAUACCUGGUACCUUGUUCACGGCAUUAUUAAUGCCAACUCCAGUUCCACAAAUACAAACACCCAAGUCUGCUUGACCAUUAACCACAGCUUCGCCGACUUUUUUUCCAAAAAUAGGGUAAUGGGUUCUUGUAUGGUCAUAAGUGCCACAGUCAAUAACGUCAUAGCCUUUAGAUUUCAAAAAAUCAGAAACAGCCAUUUUUUCGUUGGUGACAAUAUGGUCACAACCAAUCGCAAUUUUCAUCACUUUAUCCUCCUUUAGGCCAUUUUAUUGAGCAUGUCAACACGAAUUUGAUGACGACCACCAUCGUAGGGACCAGUCACAAAACCUUUGACGAUAUUCUUCGCUAAUUCUGGACCUACAAUCUCUGCCCCUAUUGUGAUCAUGCGGGCAUUGUUGUGACCGCGCGUCAUGUAAGCAGAGCGUUCAUCUGACACUUCAGCAGCAACCAUUCCUUUUAAUUUUGUGGCUACCAUAAAGGGACCUGCUCCGUAAGCAUCCACCAUAAUGCCUAAACGACCUUCUGCUUCAUUAACGGCUUUCGCCACCGCUAAUGUGUUAUCAAUAAAAUCACUGUUAAUAUCAGUCACGUCAAUAAUGUCAUAGCCUUCUUCUUGAAGAAAACUUUUGAUCAAUUCUUUUAAUGCAUUUCCGUGUGCAUCUGCACCUAAAAUAAUAGCCAUAGCUUUUCCUUUUCUAACCCAAAACGCUUGCCAAUCUAGAGAAGGGGGACAUGAUUACCUGUCCUUAGAUCAAGAUGAUUGCCAGUAGUCUUAGUGUCUUCCAUUAUUUCUUUCAAGACAAAGCACUUGUGGGUUCCCACAGAGCGCCUUGCCUUACAUGAGAAAUACUCUUUUCACGUUAGGGAGUAAGGUAGA